rnacentral:rRNA from 1 species
AUGGCGUUCGACGCCUUCACCGACAAGACCGCCGUCUUCCGCCGCCUCAAGGCCAAGCCCGAGAACAAGAUGUGCUUCGACUGCAACGCCAAGAACCCCACCUGGGCCUCCGUCACCUACGGCAUCUUCCUCUGCCUCGACUGCUCCGCCUUCCACCGCAGCCUCGGCGUGCACAUCACAUUCGUCAGGUCAACGAACCUGGACUCAUGGACUCCGGAUCAGCUAAAGAUGAUGGCUUUUGGAGGCAACAAUCGUGCACAUGCUUUCUUUAAACAGCACGGGUGGACAGAGGGGAGUGGCAAAGUCGAUUCAAAGUACACAUCCAGGGCUGCUGAAUUGUACAGGCAGAUACUGCAAAAGGAAGUUGCUAAGAGCUCCACCGUCAACGUCUUGCCAUCAUCCCCUGUUGCAGCGUCUCAGCCACCGAAUCCGACCGACGACUUCCCUGAUUUCAAGCUUGCUGAUGCACCAGAAGAGACUACCAACGGGAAGCAUGAACCUCUUGUCGCCAAUCCGCCAAAAGAGCCUGCCCAGGCUCCAAAAGCCCCUACACACCCCACUUAUGUCAGUUCUGUAAAGAAGCCCCUUGGUGCAAAGAAGCUUGGCGCCAAGACUGGAGGCCUUGGUGUAAAAAAGCUAACUACGAAGUCAAAUGAAAGCCUGUAUGAUCAGAAACCUGAAGAGCCAAAACCUGCUUUACCAACAAUGACGACUACUACUUCAGCUGCAAAAAGUGGCCCAUCCUCACAUUCGCGUUUUCAGUAUGUGGAGAAUGAGCCAUCAACAGAGUCAAAAACUGGAGGAGGCAACAAAACUGGCCAUGUAGCAGCACCAAAAACCUCAGACUUCUUUCAUGAGUAUGGAAUGGAUAAUGGCUUCCAAAGGAAAGCCGGCACAGCUGCCUCAAAGACUCAGAUAGAGGAAACUGAUGAAGCAAGGAAGAAAUUUUCGAACGCGAAAGCAAUUUCAUCAUCACAGUAUUUUGGUAACACAGACAGAGAACAAAAGGAGGCUCAGUUAUCUCUUCAAAAGUUUUCGGGUUCAUCAUCCAUUUCAAGCGCUGAUCUGUUUGGCCGUGAUACAAAUGAUUCUGAUCUGGACGCAAGUGCUGCAGAUCUCAUCAACAGAAUAUCUUUCCAGGCUUCCCAGGAUUUAUCAUCUCUCAAGAACAUGGCCGGAGAAACCGGAAAGAAGCUGACAUCUUUUGCCUCAAAUUUUAUCACCGACCUCGACAGAAUUCUGUGA